CUGAUGUAAACAACAACUCGCCGUAUGUUGGCUAAAGCGUUUCAUUGUCUUCGCCAGUUCGCCUGUUAUCUCAAAAGCGGCCUUGUGCUACUGUGUUUGGGAAUGACAACUCGUGAGAAGCAUCUGGUGGUGAUGUGCUAGGAGGAACAUUACUUGGAAACAAGUCGAUGUUCUCGUGAAGCUUGUGUUUAUAUUUUGUAGCGUAGUAGUUACGUGAGAUGACAACUCAGAAACGAUGUCAUAUUCGCUACAGCUGUGUGUGUUACGGACAAGUAAUUUUAGUUUCUCACCAGGUUGAAUGCGAGGACUAUAGGCCUAUAAUACACUCCGUAUUAGAAUCGCUGUGUGAUUCGGGAUCUGAUAAACUGACGUACCCCGUAGACAGCUUUCAAGUUCAUGUUUUGAUCGAUGAAGAUUUUUGUUUCGCCUGUGUUACGAAGAGAACGAAUGAACACUACAUUCCUUUCAAAUUCCUGGAUACAGUGAAGGACAGAUUUUCUGGAUUAUCUAGCCUCAUUUCCAGAUCAUUAAUGGCAAAUGAAAAUGAAUUUGAACGUGAUUUUGCUCCCGUACUUGCAUCUGUGAUGUAUGAUUUCAACAUAGGACAGGGAGACAAGUUACAGGAACUGCAGUCUCAAGUGGAGGAUGUAAAACAAGUAAUGCUUGAAAAUGUGCAGAAAGUCUUAGACCGUGGAGAGAGGCUGGAUGACCUGCUCAGCAAAACUGAAGAUCUGGAAGCUGGGGGCAACACAUUUCGUCAGAGGACAUUGCAACUGUACAAAAAAGCGAGAUGUAGAAAUUUGAAGAUGUGGAUAAUAAUUGGCAGUUUUCUUAGUGUGGUACUGACAUUGGCCGUGCUUAUAUCCCUAGGAAUCUUGCAUUUAUGAUUCACUGAGAUGAAAGACAAUUGGAAGACAUUGUUUCUGACUGCAAGAGAAGGCUGUGGUACACAUUGUUUAUAUAGUGAUCAACAUAAACCAAAGAAUUUGACAAAAUGUAAAUAUGUCAUAUGUGAAGUACUUGUUGUGGCGGUAGCUUAUUUUUAUCAGCACACCAGUUGCUGUACAUAAUUUUGGUGAUACUCAUUUUUCCAAAAAGCUAACUGCUUCUCUGUGUGUGAAAAAGUUGAUAGUAUUUGAGUAAAUAUAUAGCACCAAUUCUUUAUUUUGGUGAUAUUUUUGGAACUUGCGGUGUAUGAGCUGAUUAUUUUAAACUUUGUUAAUACACAAUUGUCUUCUGUCUUUUAGCAGUUUUAAAUGUUCAAUUUGUGUAUGCGGUGCAUAAUCAAAAAAUGUUGAAAUUAAUCAUUUUGAGAUAUUGGAAGUGGUUUUGCUUAACAGAGAAAGAACAUCAUGUAAUUGAAGUCAGUAUUGAAUCAUUUUAAAUAAGUAAUGACAUUUAUUUAAUGUUACCUGUGUACACUGUGAUCUGUCAUUUUUACAUUGAUAUGUUAUGAGUUUGUAUCUUGAACAUAUGUAAACCCUAUAAACUAAGUUCUUGCUCUUCAUGUAAGUGUUGUUAUUGUUUGAAUAAUAUGAGGUCACAGUAUCAUUUAGUGUCACUAGAAUGUUACAAGAGACUUGAAAAUGUUCAUCUUAUGAUGAUAUAAAAUAUGAUGGAAAGUAAUAUCAAACUGUAAAUAUUUUUAAAAGUGACAUUGUCCCCCUCAUCAUCUACAUUAAAGGAAAUUGAGGGGAGAUAAGGAUAUAGCCAGAUAACACUGUCAUUGUUGUCAGAGUGGAGAGAGCAAAGAGGAAGCUUUAAUUGCAAGCUGGAGUAGCAGCUACUUUGACUCUUCCGGCAUUUGAGGAAGGAGCUUUGACAGAAAACACUUUUGAGUAAAUAAAACUUGUGUGGUGACACCGGAGUUACAGAUAGACUGUCUUUGUGUAAUAUAUAGGAAACACCAGGAAUAAAUGUUUACGUUGUUCUUGCCAGGAUGUGAUGCAAGUGUGCAAGGCUCCUCAUUAAAUUUAUGUAUUUUUCUUUUUGUGUGUUGUGACCUUGUUGCUGUAAUUUUUGUGUUACAUUUUGAAAUAUUAUAGGAAAAUGCAGCAAUAAAUGUAUUGCACAA